rnacentral:sRNA from 1 species
GAAUAAACGGGAUUGCAGCGGCAUCUCCCGAUUCUUCAUCGGGAAUAUAGCGGAAAGCCCGACUAACA